rnacentral:rRNA from 1 species
UACGAAGGGGGCUAGCGUUGCUCGGAAUCACUGGGCGUAAAGCGCACGUAGGCGGAUUGCUAAGUCAGGGGUGAAAUCCUGGAGCUCAACUCCAGAACUGCCUUUGAUACUGGCGAUCUUGAGUCCGGGAGAGGUGAGUGGAACUGCGAGUGUAGAGGUGAAAUUCGUAGAUAUUCGCAAGAACACCAGUGGCGAAGGCGGACUCACAUUGGCCCGGUACUGACGCUGAGGUGCGAAAGCGUGGGGAAGCAAACAAGG